GAUGAACGCUGGCGGCGUGCCUAAUACAUGCAAGUCGAGCGAACAGACGAGGAGCUUGCUCCUCUGACGUUAGCGGCGGACGGGUGAGUAACACGUGGAUAACCUACCUAUAAGACUGGGAUAACUUCGGGAAACCGGAGCUAAUACCGGAUAAUAUAUUGAACCGCAUGGUUCAAUAGUGAAAGACGGUUUUGCUGUCACUUAUAGAUGGAUCCGCGCCGCAUUAGCUAGUUGGUAAGGUAACGGCUUACCAAGGCAACGAUGCGUAGCCGACCUGAGAGGGUGACGGGCAACAGGGGGAAGGAGAGACGGCAGAGACUCCUACGGGAGGAAGCAGUGGGGAAGAGGGCACAAGGGGCGGAAGCCUGAUGCAGCAACGCCGCGUGCUGGAGGAGGGACUUCGGGUAGUAAACCGCAUCCGCCGGUGACGAAGCGUGAGUGACGGGAAUGGGUAAAGAAGGACCGGCUAACUAGGUG
rnacentral:rRNA from 1 species